rnacentral:misc_RNA from 1 species
GAUGAAGAACGUAGCGAAAUGCGAUAAGUAAUGUGAAUUGCAGAAUUCAGUGAAUCAUCGAAUCUUUGAACGCACAUUGCGCCCGCCAGCAUUCUGGCGGGCAUGCCUGUUCGAGCGUCAUUUCAACCCUCGAGCCCCCCCGGGGGCCUCGGUGUUGGGGGACGGCACACCAGCCGCCCCCGAAAUGCAGUGGCGACCUCGCCGCAGCCUCCCCUGCGUAGUAGCACACACCUCGCACCGGAGCGCGGAGGCGGUCACGCCGUAAAACGCCCAACUUUCUUAGAGUUGACCUCGGAUCAGGUAGGAAUACCCGCUGAACUUAAGCAUAUCAAUAAGCGGAGGA